rnacentral:lncRNA from 12 species
AGGGUUCGACCCCGUCCCCAACUGCCCCAAAGGACACCAGCCCCGUUCAACGAUCUGAAGUUACAUGAAGGGCUCCAUCAGGGUGGGUUUCUUUUCUUUCCUUUCCUUUCCUUUCCUUUCCUUUCCUUUCCUUUCCUUUCCUUUCCUUUCCUUUCCUUUCCUUUCCUUUCCUUUCUUUUUUUUCUUUCUUUCUUUCUUUCUUUCUUUCUUUCUUUCUUUCUUUCUUUCCUCUUUCUUCUUUUCUUCUUUUUUAGGUUUUAUUUAUUUGAGAGAGAGCAAGAGCAGGGGGAGGGGCAGAGGGAGAAGCAGGGAGCCCCACGAGGACUCGAUCCCAGGACCCUGACAUCAGGGCCUGAGCCCCAGGCAGACGCUUCACCGCUGAGCCCCCUGGGCACCCCAGGGUGGGCACUUCUGCAGAGUGUGGACACACCGGGCUGUCCUGCCCAUGUCCCCUGGUGUCCCCAGCAUCCACAUCCGUGUGGCCGGCGGGCGUCCCACCCAUGCUGCCUCCGUCCAUCACUGCCUGCGUCCAUCACUUACUACCGUCCUGUAAUCACCAACCGUUUUCAGGCACAGAGCACGUGGUCGUUGGCCCAAGCCCCAUGUUGAGUGUAGACAUGACUUAAAAUCUUCACUUAAAAAAAAUAUUAUUUAUCUUAUUUUUUUAAAGGUUUUCAUUUAUUCAUUCAUGAGACACAAGAGAGGCAGAAGCAGAGACACAGGCAGUGGGAGAAGCAGGGAGCGCUACGUGGGACUCCAGGAUCACGCCCCGGGCCAAAGGCAGGCGCCAAACCGCUGCGCCCCCCAGGGACCUCUAUCUUAUUUUUUUAAUUGAAGUUCGAUUUGACUUAAAAUCUUUUAAAGAAAAUUCUCUUUUCAAAAUUAAAUAUAAUUACCUCCCUUCUAAGCAAAAAGGGAAACUUUAUUUAACGUUUCUCUAUAAGGUUACGUGGCCAGCAUGUUAUGUCCCAUUUUCACAGGGGUUCAGUUUGGGGGGGUGCAGCGGCUCUGCUGGAGAGGCGGGGGCGCAGGGACCCUUCCCUGCGGGGGCGGAGGCCUUGGGGGGAGGCCGUGGGGAG